AGAGUUUGAUCAUGGCUCAGAUUGAACGCUGGCGGCAGGCCUAACACAUGCAAGUCGAGCGGUAGCACAGAGAGCUUGCUCUCGGGUGACGAGCGGCGGACGGGUGAGUAAUGUCUGGGAAACUGCCUGAUGGAGGGGGAUAACUACUGGAAACGGUAGCUAAUACCGCAUAACGUCGCAAGACCAAAGUGGGGGACCUUCGGGCCUCAUGCCAUCAGAUGUGCCCAGAUGGGAUUAGCUAGUAGGUGGGGUAACGGCUCACCUAGGCGACGAUCCCUAGCUGGUCUGAGAGGAUGACCAGCCACACUGGAACUGAGACACGGUCCAGACUCCUACGGGAGGCAGCAGUGGGGAAUAUUGCACAAUGGGCGCAAGCCUGAUGCAGCCAUGCCGCGUGUAUGAAGAAGGCCUUCGGGUUGUAAAGUACUUUCAGCGGGGAGGAAGGCGAUAAGGUUAAUAACCUUGUCGAUUGACGUUACCCGCAGAAGAAGCACCGGCUAACUCCGUGCCAGCAGCCGCGGUAAUACGGAGGGUGCAAGCGUUAAUCGGAAUUACUGGGCGUAAAGCGCACGCAGGCGGUCUGUCAAGUCGGAUGUGAAAUCCCCGGGCUCAACCUGGGAACUGCAUUCGAAACUGGCAGGCUAGAGUCUUGUAGAGGGGGGUAGAAUUCCAGGUGUAGCGGUGAAAUGCGUAGAGAUCUGGAGGAAUACCGGUGGCGAAGGCGGCCCCCUGGACAAAGACUGACGCUCAGGUGCGAAAGCGUGGGGAGCAAACAGGAUUAGAUACCCUGGUAGUCCACGCCGUAAACGAUGUCGAUUUGGAGGUUGUGCCCUUGAGGCGUGGCUUCCGGAGCUAACGCGUUAAAUCGACCGCCUGGGGAGUACGGCCGCAAGGUUAAAACUCAAAUGAAUUGACGGGGGCCCGCACAAGCGGUGGAGCAUGUGGUUUAAUUCGAUGCAACGCGAAGAACCUUACCUGGUCUUGACAUCCACAGAACUUAGCAGAGAUGCUUUGGUGCCUUCGGGAACUGUGAGACAGGUGCUGCAUGGCUGUCGUCAGCUCGUGUUGUGAAAUGUUGGGUUAAGUCCCGCAACGAGCGCAACCCUUAUCCUUUGUUGCCAGCGGUUAGGCCGGGAACUCAAAGGAGACUGCCAGUGAUAAACUGGAGGAAGGUGGGGAUGACGUCAAGUCAUCAUGGCCCUUACGACCAGGGCUACACACGUGCUACAAUGGCAUAUACAAAGAGAAGCGACCUCGCGAGAGCAAGCGGACCUCAUAAAGUAUGUCGUAGUCCGGAUUGGAGUCUGCAACUCGACUCCAUGAAGUCGGAAUCGCUAGUAAUCGUAGAUCAGAAUGCUACGGUGAAUACGUUCCCGGGCCUUGUACACACCGCCCGUCACACCAUGGGAGUGGGUUGCAAAAGAAGUAGGUAGCUUAACCUUCGGGAGGGCGCUUACCACUUUGUGAUUCAUGACUGGGGUGAAGUCGUAACAAGGUAACCGUAGGGGAACCUGCGGUUG
rnacentral:rRNA from 3 species